ensembl:lncRNA
CGAGCUCACAAAGAGCACGCGCAUUUUUGCGGUCCGGAGCUGUAGGAGAAACACAAACUACCUCAGACACACAGACUGAUGCGACAAAACCAACAUGGCUGGUAAGGACAUGAGGAGAAAACAGUAGGAGCUGUGUGAGGAUACUAAAGGCAGUGGAUCCCUCAGCAGCUGGAUUACAAAGAGCACAGUCUCAGAUCAACACAGCCCUGCCCUCCAGCACUAUCAGCAGCAGGAGCAGCAGCAAUACAGGCUACGUUUGCUUUGCCUCACAACAGUGAUAUACUUUGAGCACCCGCCCCUAUAAACGUCUCUGCACGGCCCUGAAACAGCCACUUCAUAAACACUUGGCACAACACAGAAGAGCCACACAAACAGGACAAGACUCAGCUGUGCAUCUGCAUCUGAAGGACAAAGGUCACUCAUUCGAGAAUGCCAGUGUUCACAUUUUGGACAAAGAAGACAGACAGUUUGAAAGAGGAAUGAAAGAAGCCAUCUAUGUCCACUGGAAAUGACCAUCCUCGAACUGAGGGAGUGAGUUACAACACCAACUCUCUGCCACCUAUAAUCCAGUUUGAGAUCCCUUCCCAGGCACCUUAUCAC